ACGUUGGAAAGAGAAAUGAUAUUUGUUCAAAAAUCCAAGCCCAGGAAGGGUUCAAUUCGUCAAGAACUUCUUGUUCGAUCCAUUUCAGAUAGUUUUGCGAAGUUUACGAACAGCUCCAAGAUGCAUUGACUCCAGCAGUGUCCACACUGAGGCAACAGUUAAAAUCCUAUAAAUUAGAUGAGACGUAUACACCUGCCGAUGACGGUCAAGGAGGGGCUCCUGUGCAGGGAAAACCAAACAAAAUCAGUAUAAAUCCAGAAGUGAAUGAAUACACAUGGCGGGCGUUUCUCUCCCCACUGAAGGAGAGGAAGAGGAAAAGAAAGAAGGCUGCUGGUGGAUUUGUGGAUGGCACAAUUGAAGGACCAACAUCCCUGUCACGAACAUUCGCCACAAAACUUGGUGAUAUUUAUUAUUUGAAACCAAAGGCACGAAUAUCAGAGGGAGUGACACAAUCAAACAAGAAAAACAAAGAGAGAACGGCACCAGUGACAUCAGAGGAUGGAUUACUAAAAACUUUUGAAAUUAGAUGACGACAAAACUGAACACACGAUCAUGGGAACCAAGGCCCAAGUUCCCACAACAGCACUAAGAGUAGGAGCAGGCACUGUUCACUCAGUCAUUCAAGUCAAGAACCUGGGGGUUAAGUUCUCCAACAAAAUGUAAACAGAGCUACAAGCACUUUCGUUAGAAUAGCAACGGUUCCCUUUCACAGAAUUUGAGUCAUACUGAGUUAUCUAUGCACAUUAUUACUCGGCAUUGUGUAUUCAAAAUGAUUUUAACUUUGGUAUUUAUGGAGUUUCAACACACAGUCAUGUAUGUUUCAGUAUUUUCAAUUGCGACCUUGUGUUGUUCAUACUCUUGGAUUGUCACAAAAAGAAUGUUUAAUUUAAUAGGGAAGCCUUUUAGGGCCAUGCUUUUAUUAUUUUUCUUGAAAUGUCAAGAUACUAGGUUGAAAUUACAAGAUAGAUAUUUAAUUGAAAGUUCAAGAAACUGAUCUUAAACUGUCAAGAGAAGAAGUUGAAAUUUCAACUUGAUAUCUUGAAAAAAUGUCCCUAAAAGGCUUCCGUAGUUAAGCUCAUUUAGCUUCUAUGUGUCUUCACAUAAUGAGAUUAUAUUUCGAUUAACUCAGGGUCUGUCUUUAUGGACAUGUAAUGCUACUGACUGCAUAUCAGGUGAGCUCCAGUAACUAUAGUAACGUUUUUCCGGCAAUACAGACCCUGUAAAUAAUUAUUCUUAUUGUGAAAGGAACAUUAUUGUUAUUGUCUUAGAGCAUCCGGUGUUUUAUAUUAAGCUGGUUGUGAAAACAGGACGCCGGCAAGAGCAUCCGGAGUUAUAUUUUGCUAUUUUUGAUAACAGUACGCCAGUAAGAGCACCCGGACUGAUAUAUUGGGCUAGUUGUGAUAACAGGACCCUAUAUCAGCACCCGGUGUCUUAUAGUAAUCUAAUUAUCAUAACAGGAUCAUGUAUUUACCACUAUGUAAGGACCCUGUAUCAGCACCCGGUGUCUUAUAGUAAUCUAAUUAUCAUAACAGGAUCACGUAUUUACCACUAUGUAAGGACCCUGUAUCAGCACCCGGUGUCUUAUAGUGAUCUAAUUAUCAUAACAGGAUCAUGUAUUUACCACUAUGUAAGGACCCUGUAUCAGCACCCGGUGUCUUAUAGUAAUCUAAUUAUCAUAACAGGAUCAUGUAUUUACCACUAUGUAAGGACCCUGUAUCAGCACCCGGUGUCUUAUAGUAAUCUCAUUAUCAUAACAGGAUCAUGUAUUUAUCACUAUAUAAGGACCCUGUAUCAGCACCCGGUGUCUUGUAGUAAUCUAAUGAUCAUAACAUGAUCACGUAUUUACCACUAUGUAAGGACCCUGUAUCAGCACCCGGUGUCUUAUAGUGAUCUAAUUAUCAUAACAGGAUCAUGUAUUUACCACUAUGUAAGGACCCUGUAUCAGCACCCGGUGUCUUAUAGUGAUCUAAUUAUCAUAACAGGAUCAUGUAUUUACCACUAUGUAAGGACCCUGUAUCAGCACCCGGUGUCUUAUAGUGAUCUAAUUAUCAUAACAGGAUCACGUAUUUACCACUAUGUAAGGACCCUGUAUCAGCACCCGGUGUCUUAUAGUGAUCUAAUUAUCAUAACAGGAUCAUGUAUUUACCACUAUGUAAGGACCCUGUAUCAGCACCCGGUGUCUUAUAGUGAUCUAAUUAUCAUAACAGGAUCAUGUAUUUACCACUAUGUAAGGACCCUGUAUCAGCACCCGGUGUCUUAUAGUAAUCUAAUUAUCAUAACAGGAUCAUGUAUUUACCACUUAGUCUAUGUAAGGACCCUGUAUCAGUACCCGGUGUCUUGUAGUAAUCUAAUGAUCAUAACAGGACCAUGUAUAUAUCACUAUAUAAGGACCCUGUAUCAGCACCCGGUGUCUUAUAGUAAUCUCAUUAUCAUAACAGGAUCAUGUAUUUACCACUUAGUCUAUGUAAGGACCCUGUAUCAGCACCCGGUGUCUUAUAGUAAUCUCAUUAUCAUAACAGGAUCAUGUAUUUAUCACUAUGUAAGGACCCUGUAUCAGCACCCGGUGUCUUAUAGUAAUCUAAUUAUCAUAACAGGAUCAUGUAUUUACCACUUAGUCUAUGUAAGGACCCUGUAUCAGCACCCGGUGUCUUAUAGUAAUCUCAUUAUCAUAACAGGAUCAUGUAUUUAUCACUAUAUAAGGACAUUAUCCGGAGUUUUAUAUUGAUAUUCAAAUGACAACUUAUGACCCUUGUCCAACCUUUGGAACAUAAAGGUACAUGCGGAAAGUCAUAUUUUCACCUUGUCACAAAACGUGUCGAAUCAAACACAAUAGUGCAUACACCACAGAGAAUGGAUUUACUCAUCUCAUGUACUAACUGAACUUCUAACCAACAUUAAUUAUGUUUACAUACCGA
rnacentral:misc_RNA from 1 species